rfam:Theileria parva strain Muguga apicoplast, complete genome, whole genome shotgun sequence.
AGAUCUGUAGCUUAAUUAGAUAAAGUAUGUAACUACGAAAUACACGAUGAAGGUUUAAUUCCUUUCAGAUCUU